rnacentral:lncRNA from 1 species
UUACAGGGUGGUUAAGCUUCACCAGUGGCCUCCUUCCCGAGGCAAUUCCUUGCUCUCCCCUGCUAGAGGGGCACCCUAGGCCAUUCACCCCAUCCGACUUCAGAGUGUACUCUUUGAGUUUGGCAACUCACCACCAGCAUCCAACCAAAUCUAACGGAUCAACGGCGCGUCAACUUAGGGUUUAAAACAGGUCAGCUCGCGAGUUGAUUUUAUCACGUCCUACACCGUCCACAAAAUGGGGGGC